UUGCCAGACUCCUACGGGAGGCAGCAGUGAGGAAUAUUGGUCAAUGGGCGGAAGCCUGAACCAGCCAAGUCGCGUGAGGGAAGAAGGCCCUGCGGGUCGCAGACCUCUUUGGACGGGGAGCAAGGCCGCCGACGUGUCGGCGGAAGGAGAGCACCCGUAGAACAAGCAUCGGCUAACUCCGUGCCAGCAGCCGCGGUAAUACGGAGGAUCCGAGCGUUAUCCGGAUUCAUUGGGUUUAAAGGGUGCGUAGGUUGUUUUAUAAGUUAGCGGUGAAAUACCGAUGCUCAACAUCGGGGCUGCCGCUAAUACUGUAGGACUAGAGAUCGGAUGCAGCAGGCGGAAUGUGUAGUGUAGCGGUGAAAUGCAUAGAUAUUACACAGAACACCGAUUGCGAAGGCAGCUUGCUAGGCCGGAUCUGACACUGAUGCACGAAAGCGUGGGGAUCGAACAGGAUUAGAUACCCUCGUAGAC
rnacentral:rRNA from 1 species